AGAGGGUGAAACUCCCGUCCGCCUGGUAGAAUGAGUCUUUGUCAACGAGUCGGAGUUGUUUGGGGAUUGCAGCUCUAAUUUGAUGGUAAAUUCCAUCUAAAGCUAAAUAUUGGUGGGAGACCGAUAGCGUACGAAGUACCGUGAGGGAAAGAUGCAAAGAACUUUGAAAAGAGAGUUAAAGAGUACCUGAAAUUGCUGAAACGGAAGCGAAGGAAACCAGUGUUUGUUGGUUCAUAUUUCCUUGGCCACUUGUGGUUUGGGCGCUGUGAGCUUGCGUGGGUUUGGUUGGUUGAGUCCCUUUGGAAGAGCGCCAGUCAGAGUUGAUGUCU
rnacentral:rRNA from 1 species